rnacentral:rRNA from 1 species
CAGGGAAUCUUCCACAAUGGGCGAAAGCCUGAUGGAGCAACGCCGCGUGUGUGAUGAAGGCUUUCGGGUCGUAAAGCACUGUUGUAUGGGAAGAACAGCUAGAAUAGGAAAUGAUUUUAGUUUGACGGUACCAUACCAGAAAGGGACGGCUAAAUACGUGCCAGCAGCCGCGGUAAUACGUAUGUCCCGAGCGUUAUCCGGAUUUAUUGGGCGUAAAGCGAGCGCAGACGGUUUAUCAAGUCUGAUGUGAAAGCCCGGAGCUCAACUCCGGAAUGGCAUUGGAAACUGGUUAACUUGAGCGCAGUAGAGGUAAGUGGAACUCCAUGUGUAGCGGUGGAAUGCGUAGAUAUAUGGAAGAACACCAGUGGCGAAGGCGGCUUACUGGAUUGCAACUGACGUUGAGGCUCGAAAGUGUGGGUAGCAAACAG